rnacentral:rRNA from 1 species
UACGGGGGGAGCAAGCGUUGUUCGGAUUUACUGGGCGUAAAGGGCGCGUAGGCGGCGCAACAAGUCACUUGUGAAAUCUCCGGGCUUAACCCGGAGCGGCCAAGUGAUACUGUCGUGCUAGAGUGCGGAAGGGGCUACUGGAAUUCUCGGUGUAGCGGUGAAAUGCGUAGAUAUCGAGAGGAACACCUGCGGCGAAGGCGGGUUGCUGGGCCGACACUGACGCUGAGGCGCGAAAGCUAGGGGAGCGAACGGG